rnacentral:rRNA from 1 species
AAAGGAAUAGACGGGGACCCGCACAAGCGGUGGAGCGUGUUGUUUAAUUCGAUGGUAAACGAAGAACCUUACCCAGGUUUGACAUCCUUGGAAUUUUGCCGAAAGGCGAGAGUGCUUUAUUGAGCCAAGUGACAGGUGUUGCAUGGCCGUCGUCAGCUCGUGUCGUGAGAUGUUUGGUUAAGUCCAUCAACGAGCGCAACCCUUAUAGUCUGUUGUAUUUUUCAGGCUAGACUGCCCCGGUAACGGGGAGGAAGGAGGGGAUGAUGUCAGGUCAGUAUUACCCUUACAUCUGGGGCUACAAACACGCUACAAUGGCCGGUACAAAGGGCAGCCAAGUCGCGAGACGGAGCAAAUCCCAUCAAAGCCGGUCCCAGUUCAGAUUGCAGGCUGAAACUCGCCUGCAUGAAGUCGGAAUCGCUAGUAACGGUAGGUCAGCUAUACUACCGUGAAUACGUUCCCGGGUCUUGUACACACCGCCCGU